CAGCCGCCGCGGUAAUACGUAGGGUGCGAGCGUUAAUCGGAAUUACUGGGCGUAAAGCGUGCGCAGGCGGUUCGUUAAGACAGAUGUGAAAUCCCCGGGCUUAACCUGGGAACUGCAUUUGUGACUGUAUAGCUAGAGUACGGUAGAGGGGGAUGGAAUUCCGCGUGUAGCAGUGAAAUGCGUAGAUAUGCGGAGGAACACCGAUGGCGAAGGCAAUCCCCUGGACCUGUACUGACGCUCAUGCACGAAAGCGUGGGGAGCAAACAGGAUUAGAUACCCGCGUAGUCCCUGUCUCUUAUAC
rnacentral:rRNA from 1 species